CACAGACGCUGGCCCUGCCGUCACUGAGGACGUGCGUUCCCUCACGGAAGUGCUGUGCUCGGCCAGGCCCUUCGGAGGCUGGCGGGCGCGCACGUGUGCAGCCACGUGACCCUGCCAUCAGCGGCCUGGACGCCAGGCCGAGGUGGAGCCUGGCGGAGGUGGGGCCUGGCGGAGGUGGGGCCUCGCGGAGGUGGGGCCUCGCGGAGGUGGGGCCUCGCGGAGGUGGGGCCUCGCGGAGGUGGGGCCUGGCCGCAAGCUGGGACCCCGGAAGGGCACCGCGGCCCCUGCAUGUGCAGCUCCUCAGCUGCUUCUCCUGCUGCCGUCAAGUUAAAGGCCCCUAGCUGCCCCAGGAGAAACGUGCCCUCUAUCUCCUGUCUGGGCUCCUCUCGCUCCUGGUUCCCAAGGCCUCUCUGCCUCCCGCGUGUGAGUGACCCCUGCUCGAGGCCCCUUAAAUACCCAGCGUGCGUGUGGCACUGGCCAUCGGCUUGUUCUGUUACACCUCCUGCUCCUCCCGGGAGGUCUCCAGUUCCUCCAUGACCGAGUUGGGCCCUCGAGUCCCGGUUGGUGUUGCCUCCGGUCUUCAGGGCCUCAGAGAGGUCACGGCAUCCUCCCAGGCUCGGUCUUAGGGCCCAUGAGCCCCCUGUGAGUUUAGCGGCCUUUGAUUACUUUUCCAACCUGGGGAUAAAAGGAGACUUGGCCAUGUGAGCUCAGAGGGGAGACCAGGCUGGAAAUAGAAGACCUGUUAUUUCAUGGAGCAGAGACAAGCAACACCUUGGAGGUGGCCUCAGUCCCACCCCAGCAGGUGGAGGAGCUGAACCCAGCAUGGGGCCAACGUCACCUCGGGGCACCAUUGAUGUGUUGUCCAGACAUCAAACCUUGCCUCCACCACACCGCCUCAGAGCCCCUCCAGACAGCAUCCAGGGACCCUCGGGAGGGAGGUCCCGCCUCUCCACUGCAAUUCCAGAUCCUCAUGAAAUAAGGAGGCACUCCAGCUCCCUGCCCUUCAGUUUGAAACCUGAAGUCUUUAGCAAAAGCUUAUUUCAAAAAUGAUGCUUGAGAACUUUACUGAAGGACUAACAAAAUGAUUGUUCCAAAGGACUUUUAAAAAUCAUUAUUGUUCUUAUAAAAUCAGCUUAUAAUGCUAGAAGCCCCAUGUCUUUUAUUUGCUUUUCUGCACAGCUGGAAGGUAAAACAGGCAUCUUCUAAUUAUAUACCUAUCAUAAGAGGUUGGUAAAAG
ensembl:lncRNA